rnacentral:tmRNA from 1 species
GGGGGCGAUCGGUUUCGACGAGAUAUGCAUCGUUGAAAAUGGCAUGUCGAGGUCCAGGAUCUCGUUAAUCACCUGGAAAAACCAUAAAUGCCGAUAACGGCUACAUGGCCGCUGCUUAAAUANAGUAGUGGCCCGUUCUAAGUUUAGUUAGCCUAUAGCUAGACUUAAGAGCGUCAAUUUUAUAGGCUGGUCCUGAUUAUUGUCUGUGUUAUUAGGAUGAGACUUUAACAGACUUUGCUUGUAAUGGCUGUGUCAACAGAGCAGUUAUAAGUAAGCUUAAUCUGUUUGACUAAGCAUGUAGAUGUUCUCUUGGAUUCUAUUUCGGACGGGAGUUCGAUUCUCCCCGCCUCCACAC